rnacentral:rRNA from 1 species
GAUGAACGCUGGCGGCGUGCCUAAUACAUGCAAGUCGAGCGAACGUACGAGAAGCUUGCUUCUCUGAUGUUAGCGGCGGACGGGUGAGUAACACGUGGAUAACCGACCUAUAAGACUGGGAUAACUUCGGGAAACCGUAGCUAAUACCGGAUAAUAUUUUGAACCGCAUGGUUCAAAAGUGAAAGACGGUCUUGCUGUCACUUAUAGAUGGAUCCGCGCUGCAUUAGCUAGUUGGUAAGGUAACGGCUUACCAAGGCAACGAUGCAUAACCGACCUGAGAGGGUGAUCGGCCACACUGGAACUGAGACACGGUCCAGACUCCUACGGGAGGCAGCAGUAGGGAAUCUUCCGCAAUGGGCGAAAGCCUGACGGAGCAACGCCGCGUGAGUGAUGAAGGUCUUCGGAUCGUAAAACUCUGUUAUUAGGGAAGAACAUAUGUGUAAGUAACUGUGCACAUCUUGACGGUACCUAAUCAGAAAGCCACGGCUAACUACGUG